GCUACAGUGUUGCUAUAGUAAUUUUGACACUCCAAAAUUGAGCAACAAGGCCCUCGUCGCUGGCCUGGCGCCAAAGCAAAACACUGUGUCCUGUGGAGUUCCCGUGUGCAGACUGGCUGCAAGCCUGCAAUCGAGCUCUAAUCUGCUUACAGCAUGUCAGCAUCAGAUCAUCAGGGAACUGAACAAGCCUAGAACAGACAAG
rnacentral:lncRNA from 1 species